CCUACGGGUGGCUGCAGUGGGGAAUAUUGCACAAUGGGGGAAACCCUGAUGCAGCGACGCCGCGUGAGUGAAGAAGUAUUUCGGUAUGUAAAGCUCUAUCAGCAGGGAAGAUAAUGACGGUACCUGACUAAGACGCCCCGUCUAACUACGUGCCAGCAGCCGCGGUAAUACGUAGGGGGCAAGCGUUAUCCGGAUUUCGUGGGGGUAAAGGGUGCGUAGUGGGCAGGGCAAGUCAGAUGUGAACGCCCGGGGCGCAACCCCGGCACUGCAUUUGAAACUGGCCAGCUGGAGUGCAGGAGAGGUAAGCGGAAUUCCCAGUGUAGCGGUGAAAUGCGUAGAUAUUAGGAGGAACACCAGUGGCGAAGGCGGCUUACUGGACUGUAACUGACACUGAGGCACGAAAGCGUGGGGAGCAAACAGGAUUAGAUACCCUGGUAGUC
rnacentral:rRNA from 1 species